rnacentral:rRNA from 1 species
CCUACGGGAGGCAGCAGUGGGGAAUAUUGGACAAUGGGGGGAACCCUGAUCCAGCCAUGCCGCGUGUGCGAAGAAGGCCCUCGGGUUGUAAAGCACUUUCAGUGAGGAAGAACGCCUGGUGGUUAAUACCCAUCAGGAAAGACAUCACUCACAGAAGAAGCACCGGCUAACUCCGUGCCAGCAGCCGCGGUAAUACGGAGGGUGCGAGCGUUAAUCGGAAUUACUGGGCGUAAAGCGCGCGUAGGUGGCUUGAUAAGCCGGUUGUGAAAGCCCCGGGCUCAACCUGGGAACGGCAUCCGGAACUGUCAAGCUAGAGUGCAGGAGAGGAAGGUAGAAUUCCCGGUGUAGCGGUGAAAUGCGUAGAGAUCGGGAGGAAUACCAGUGGCGAAGGCGGCCUUCUGGACUGACACUGACACUGAGGUGCGAAAGCGUGGGUAGCAAACAGGAUUAGAUACCCUAGUAGUC